ACACGUGUUGGACAAUCUUUAUAACCUGCAGCGUGGUUUCCAUCGCAAUUUUUACAUUUAUAAUUUAACAAAUGGUCAUUUCCGGAAGUUUGAUGUUGUUUACAAUCGGCUGUCUUGUGAUUUUCUGCACAAAUACCACAUGAUGACUGGAUAUAACAUUGUUUUGCAGCGUGUCCAUAGCUUUGGCAGUUGUAACACCUGGUAGGACCGGAUGUCUUUUUUGCGUAGUAAUCAAAUCUCACAAUCGUGUUAUUAAUUGACCUAAUUUUAUUUUUUAGUUCAGAAAGUUUAAUUGAAUUCCUUUCCAGAUAUAAAAUAUAACCAUACCUGGUGAGUUCAUCUUUGAUUUCAUCAAUUUUCACGUGUUCGUCCAGACCAUAUAACACUAUUUUUGAUGGCUUGGUGUUUGGAAUUUCGUGUGUGAAGAAACUCCAUUUGGCCAUGUUGCCUUCAGCGCUUUUAUUUUCAUCAGAAAGGGCCUUAAUAAGCUUAUUAAAAUUUGUGAUAUCUGGGCAAAAUACGUGAAUACCGAUUGAACAAUUUUUAACGUUGGCUCCUUUAAUACCAAGUAAGGUGAUUUUUGAGUAGUGUUUACCGAUGUGUUCACAAUAAUUUCAUCUUGGUCCAUCAACUGGUUCAGCACCUCAAAUCGAUUAUUAGUUUGUGACAGAUUCAUCUUUUUACUGUUGUUAUGGUCAACAUUGUUGUCAUCCAGCGACGAACUUGAAUUUUUCCUUUUUGUGGAAAUUGUUUUCUUUUUUUUAUGUUUUUGUAAAGUAUAAUUAAGAUAAAUGUGGUUUAAAUAUAUAUGUAAAAAUCGUUUAUACAACUGUACUUAACGAGUGUUUAGCAACGAA